GCUAGGACAUGGGGCUCACUGUGGAAGCUGACACCCAUUCCAUUGGCAUACAUCACCCUCAGGGUACCGUUAUUACAGAGCUGGUAGCUGUUCCGCACUUGAUCUGGAGAAAUGCUGCAGGUGAGAACUUCAGGCCAAGAACCAGGUGUGGCACAGUGAUGAGAAGUAAAUCCUACCUGGGCCACAUCCAUGCUGGAGUCACAGCUCAGUGGCCGGACAGCAGUGAGGUCAUUGGAGCCCAGCAAAGUGGAGAUGAUUCCAUUCUGGUCAACCUUCCGGAUCAUGGUGGCAUCAACAAAGUACAUGAGUCCGUUCUUGUCCACUGCAAUACCUGAUCAAGACAAACAGCGAACGUGUGUCUCUUGACAAGGAGUAGGGCUUGUGGGGGUGGAGGUGGGGAUGCCCUAUUGGGCAUUAGCUUCUUGAUCUUCUCGAACUCGGGAACAUACUGGAUGGAUUAGCAGACCUAGAGCAGUGGCUCUCAGCUUUUUAAGCUGACAGCUCCUGGCUCAAUUACUUGGGGAACACCACUGAUUUCGGACUCUUCCUGGCCAUUGAAAAAUCUACAGAAGAAUGCUUGAAUUCUCUGACCAGCAAUGUGGCUGUCACAUGACAGAGGUGGCAACAGGUCAAAGAGGUCUUUUGGCUAAUGAAAGAUGGCAAAUAGUUUCCCUCUUGAGUGCCAAUACUGAUUGAUUAGUGAUGCCUGCCAGGAGCACAGAAGUAGAAGGAUUCUGAAGCCAAAUGCCAAUCAGCUGUAACAAGUGCUGGGGCUCAUUUGUAAUGUCUGCUCUGGGUGUGGGAGGGAACCUGGUGCCACCUGUGCCACCUAUAUGUUAUUGGUGCAUCACAGGGUAGAGUCAGUACCAUCCAAGACAGCCUCUUCCCAAAUCCAUCUGCAGUUUGGCAAACAUUCUGUUGAACCCUGAGAGUCUCAACCGUUUCCUAUCCCUGUUCUAUGACACCUUCCCUCUCCCUAACUCAAUUUGCAUGUGUGGGGCCCCUUGUAUGCAUUCUUUCCUACAGAUAACAUUCAUACAUGAAAUUCAUAGAUAUUAAUAUUCUCUAUAAUUGGAGCCAAAGACUCCAUUUACCAUUUCUUUUUUGGAAAAGUGGUAAAAGUGUUGCUGUUCUUUUUUUUAAUUUUAAUUUUAAUGUUUAUUUUUAUUUUUGAGAGAGAAUGUGUGAGAAGGGAAGCAGCAGAGAGAGAAGGGGGACAGAGGAUCUGAAGCAUUUUUUUAAGAACAAAAAUACAUGUCAAUUUCAACAGGAAAGAGGCUAGAAGUUAAUAACAUUAGGGCAAAGAGGAGAGAUGCUAAGGCCUCAAGUAAAGAGAACUGCUUCUCAUUCCUGAGACUUCUAGGCCAAACUGGAAGGAGUCUCUAACCCCCUCUUUCCCUCCUGGCUGAGGGAGGAGGCUUCAGGGGAGGGACAAAGAGAACUAAUGCCCUGAUUCCUGCUUAGGUGCAGCCUGGGCCUCUGCCAGGGGCCAUGAUUAGUGGUGGGUUUGCACAGGGAUUACAUUUUUAUAUUUUAUUCCAAUGUGUUAGUUUUCGUUAAAAAAAAAGUUAAUUAAAUGAUGCUGAUAACUCCUGAGCUCUGACUGACAUAGUGCAAUUUAAGAUUCAUUCUGCAAAGCCUGGUGUGUCAGGGUGGCAGCCGGGAAUUCUCGCGUCUAUUUUAUAUUGCUUAAUGAAAGUGAAAUGUUAUCUGCCACCAGUGGUAGUCAUAUUUGGCUCUUAAUUAUUGCAAUAUCAAUUCCAGUGUUUUAGUCAAGAUUUUGUGAAAAGACUGGAUGGGAUUUGGGUCUGCAGACCUGACCUACUUCUUUCCUAAGAACAUGUGCUUUAAGUUGAUUAAUAUAAUAUCUAUGCUGGGGAAAGGAGAAGGGCAGGAGUGGCAGACCAAGUCACUGAGGGUACAGUCCAAAUGAUCAUAUGGAUAUGAGCUUUGGAGACCAACUGAGGUCACCACUAUUCCAGUCCAAGGCCAUUGGCAGCAUGGGUACUUAGUAGCCAACAAACCAAAAUAAUGGCAUUGAGUCAAUCGAUGUAGAUCAGCACAGGUGCCUUACAUGCAAAGGACAGGCCAAGGCUUUGUGUUUGCAAUAAUGCAAACCCUUUAGGCACAGCCUUCAAGGGCAGAGUGGUGUCUCAGAUUCAAGAAGUGAGAUGGCUUAGCUCAUCAACAUUUGAGACUGUUGCCUCCUUCCCUUCCAACUCCCUCUGUGCCACAGAAUAGGGUGGUAUUGGAGUGGCCACAGUUUGUUUGUUUCAGUUCUAAUGAAAGAGAAGUUAGCUGGGAUAAAUUCAGUUUAGGGGGGACAUGCUUAUGUGUUAAUUAGUUAAUUAACAUGCUUAAAUUAGUUUUAGGGGGACAUGCUUAUGUGGCUCAUAUGUGGUCCUUUCAUUAUCUAGUUAGAUUACUGCUAGUGUUGGGGUGCCUGGGUGGCUUGGUCGGUUGAGCGUCCGACUUCGGCUCAGGUCAUGAUCUCACGGUCCGUGAGUUCAAGCCCUGCG